rnacentral:lncRNA from 1 species
CAAAGUUAGCCAACGUCAUCAAAUUUCGAUAUCUUACAGCUAAAUUAAACGCACACUAUAAAAACAUCCUACAAGAAUAUAUACAGUUGCUCAUAAACUGAUACUAAAUUACAAAGCACAAAAAGCUGGAAACUCUUAACCAGAUAUUCCAAAUUUGUAUGGGAUUUCAUUUUAAACAAAUAACAUAAUUUUACUAGAGCAUUAAUUCAUUAGUAAUGGCUGAAAAUGUUAUGCAUAAACUGAUGCAAACAACCAUAUUAAGUUCUAGUUAAGCAGUGUAAACCGACUCUACGAACAAUUUCAAAAUAAUUUUAAGUCAUUAUAAAGCCAUAGAGGAAUUAAACCACAUAUAUAAAUUUCAAUUACCUAUUGUAAUUAAAAGGUUAAUUUUAAAUAUAUUUAGCUUAGUUGAGUUGUUGAUUUAGGAACAAAUAUCUACUUAAGAUAGAAGUAAAACUUUCAGAUAUGGGCAGAUCACUUAUUUCGGUUAGUGGUUAUUAUAAAUUAAGACCCCUAACUUUUAGGAACUUUGUAAGGAUUAAAGGGUUCACAAAGAGGCCUUCUAGGACCACUCUGCUAAUUAGGUUAUGAUGAAGUGAAGUUGAGUUUGUGUUCUGGAAUGUAUUCCAUUUAUUCCUCUUCUCCCUCUCCUUCCUUCUGUCCUGCUUUCCUCUCACAACCACAUCUCCUAUUGGACAAUUGCCUAAACAGAGAAUAUUAGUUCAGCAAAUUGCCGCUGCCUCGGGCUUCUUUUUUCAGAAAAUUCAGCUGAACAUUUUUCCUCCAGCUCUGAAAUUUGCAAAAAAACCCCUGGGUCGUCCAAAAAAUUAUAGAAUAGCCCCCAUACAGUUAUAAAAGAAUUUCUUGUUUUGAUUUUCUUUUGGCCUUACAAACUAAAAUCUCCUAUAAGGUUGGGCCAGUUACUUUAAUCAACCAAACAAGCACCUAAUCAUUGCUUUCCUGGCCAUGUCUUUCUUUUGUGCCGGACGUAGCAAUUGUUUCUGCGGUGUUCAAAUUACUCGAUUCCUGGUAAAGUAGCAAUGCUUAUUAGUUAUUUGGUCUCUUAUCAAAACAAACUUCACCACCGUACAUUUUUGUAAGCUAUAGCAUGUUUCUUUAAAGGCUCCUUUUGGAAAUCAAUAACUACAAGUUAAUGGUUAUAUGAUUCCAUAGAACCAUGGUAAUUUCACGAAGACCCUUGCAAAAUGAGAACAAACUUCAACAAACUUUAAUUUUUUUUCAAAAAACUAUUGCGUCUAUUUUAGCGUACAGCUGAAGUAAAUUCCCUACUUGAAAAAAGAAAGAUCAAUCACAAAUAUGAUUCAAGAGAAGCUUAGUAAAAAUAUUGUGGAACACAGAAGAGAAAGCAUCAGAUCUAUUGCCUCAUCAAUGUUCUUACCAGGUGCAACAUACAAGCUAAAAUCAGAACUUAUCCUAUAAUUUAGACAAAAGAUCCAAAGAGUGAAAAGAUAGUAUGUGUGGUACAUGUAAUCAAAGCAAAAAACCCAAUAAAAUUUGCAAGCCAGAUGACAUGAAAAGUUGAGCAUGGCUUUAGAAGAAAAGUUAAUAAAUAAUUGAGUUGCCCAAAACAACAUCAAGGAUCUAACGUACU